AACGAACGCUGGCGGCAGGCCUAACACAUGCAAGUCGAGCGAACCCUUCGGGGUUAGCGGCGGACGGGUUAGUAACGCGUGGGAAUAUACCCUUUGGUACGGAAUAGCCUCGGGAAACUGAGAGUAAUACCGUAUGUGCCCUUCGGGGAAAGGAUUUAUCGCCAAAGGAUUAGCCCGCGUUGGAUUAGAUAGUUGGUGGGGUAAGUGGCCUACCAAGUCUACGAUCCAUAGCUGGUUUGAGAGGAUGAUCAGCAACACUGGGACUGAGACACGGCCCAGACUCCUACGGGAGGCAGCAGUGGGGAAUCUUAGACAAU
rnacentral:rRNA from 1 species